rnacentral:rRNA from 1 species
UACAGAGGGUGCAAGCGUUGUUCGGAAUUAUUGGGCGUAAAGGGAGUGUAGGCGGUCCAUUAAGUCUUCUGUGAAAUCUACGGGCUUAGCCUGUAACGUGCAGAGGAAACUGGUGGACUUGAGUGUCGGAGAGGAUAGGGGAAUACCCGGUGUAGAGGUGAAAUUCGUAGAGAUCGGGUGGAACACCAGUGGCGAAGGCGCCUAUCUGGCUGACAACUGACGCUGAGACUCGAAAGCAUGGGGAGCAAACAGG